rnacentral:rRNA from 1 species
UACGGAGGGUGCAAGCGUUAUCCGGAUUCACUGGGCUUAAAGGGUGCGUAGGCGGGCAAGUAAGUCAGUGGUGAAAUCUCUGGGCUUAACCCGGAAACUGCCAUUGAUACUAUUUGUCUUGAAUACUGUGGAGGUCAGCGGAAUAUGUCAUGUAGCGGUGAAAUGCUUAGAUAUGACAUAGAACACCAAUUGCGAAGGCAGCUGGCUACACAAAUAUUGACGCUGAGGCACGAAAGCGUGGGGAGCAAACAGG